rnacentral:rRNA from 1 species
UUUUAUUUGAGAGUUUGAUCCUGGCUCAGGAUGAACGCUGGCGGCGUGCCUAACACAUGCAAGUUGAGCGAUUUACUUCGGUAAAGAGCGGCGGACGGGUGAGUAACGCGUGGGUAACCUACCCUGUACACACGGAUAACAUACCGAAAGGUAUGCUAAUACGGGAUAAUAUAUUUGAGAGGCAUCUCUCGAAUAUCAAAGGUGAGCCAGUACAGGAUGGACCCGCGUCUGAUUAGCUAGUUGGUAAGGUAACGGCUUACCAAGGCGACGAUCAGUAGCCGACCUGAGAGGGUGAUCGGCCACAUUGGAACUGAGACACGGUCCAAACUCCUACGGGAGGCAGCAGUGGGGAAUAUUGCACAAUGGGCGAAAGCCUGAUGCAGCAACGCCGCGUGAGUGAUGAAGGCCUUCGGGUCGUAAAACUCUGUCCUCAAGGAAGAUAAUGACGGUA